GGCCUCCCUCUGUGGGGCAAUCGAUCAGGGGCCUCCAGAUUGAUCGCCCCACAGAGGGAGGCC
rfam:Myotis lucifugus cont2.28112, whole genome shotgun sequence.